rnacentral:misc_RNA from 1 species
GGCCUAACCUUAGGGAAGGAUGCUCCGAGGGUGUGGUUAGCGAUUGGGGUGAAGUCGUAACAAGGUAUCCGUACGGGAACGUGCGGAUGGAUCACCUCCUUUCUAAGGAGUAUUCUUGUUGUUCUUAUCUAUUCCGAAUGCGUUCGUAGCUCAGCUGGUUAGAGCACACGCCUGAUAAGCGUGAGGUCGGUGGUUCAAGUCCACUCGAACGCACCAUAUAUGGGGAUAUAGCUCAGUUUGGGAGAGCGACGCACUUGCACUGCGUAGGUCAGCGGUUCGAUCCCGCUUAUCUCCACCAUGUGUUUUUUUUAUGGACCUUGGAAACUGUAUAGUAGAUCAAAAAACAAACAAGAAUAAAGAACAAAGAACUCUAGUUUCUAGAGUUAGCUGUCAAAGAAAAAAACAAGAUUAAAGUAACAAAGGGCACACAAGGGAUGCCUAGGUAGAAAGAGCCGAAGAAGGAGGUGGUAGCUGCGAUAAGCUUGGCGAAGUUGCAAACGAACCUGGAUGCCUGGGCAGUCAGAAUUCG